CAGUCGUACCUUCGGGUAAUCAGCCUUUUGGGUGUGAUUUUGUGGAGCGUGAGGAGUUAAACGCCUUCAUGCCUGCAUAUUCGUGCACUUUGGGUGUACUUGCCCGUGUGGUUGGUUAACAUCAAUUUUGGUUAUCAUAAAAUGACUGGAGGAAUGUAGCUUCGAUCUCGUAUUGAAGUGUUAUAGCCUUCGGUAGAUGUGAUGAUCGAGAUUGAGGAUUGCAACGGAUACCCUUCGGGGCUACCUGUCUGGUCUCUGAUCGUUGCUCUGGUGCCGAAAGCUUGCUUACGGUUAUCAAAGUCGAUGGUCAAUAGGUUAGAACGGGUUAAAU
rnacentral:rRNA from 1 species